rfam:Aedes albopictus isolate Foshan contig22761, whole genome shotgun sequence.
UGCUCUGUGGCUUAUUUAGUUAAAGCGCCGGUCUAGCGAAUACGGAGUCGCGGGUUCAAAUCCCACCAGAACGC